GCUCAUUCACAACCCUCUAUAAAACACUUAAAAAAACUAUUUAUAUACUAACUUACUAUUAACCCCAAAACUAUAAGUACUAAAAAGGAAAAUAACAUUAAUUUUAAGUAGUGAUAACCCACGUACCUUGUGCAUUAUGGUUUUACAAGCUAGAAAUUAAAAAUAUUAUUCCCGAAUCCUACGCGAGCUGCCCCUAUAUAGCUAAGAGCCCACUACUAGUUGUAGCAACAACUUUAGAAAAUAUAUUGGCAGAGGCUACAUACCACACGCGCUAGAAGAUCGCUGGUUUUCAGUAAAACUUAUUAAUUAAAACAUGCAGCACUCUGCAGUGUAAGAUUUCAGAGGACAAGCCCUGUAAUCCUAAGCUAUUUUUAAGUACUUCAACAUCUCUAGGCCUAAAAACAGCCAUCAUAAAUACUUCACCGUAUAAAUAAUUCACAAUCCCUAACUUUAUAUGCCUAAACUAACUGAAACUUGGGAAAAACAUUAAAUCCCAAAAUAUUCUGUAAAAAUAAGUAUUAGAAAAAGAUAAAAUAUAUUUUUAAAUUAUAGCCCCAAAUUAACAACCAAACACUUAUAAGGAACUCGGCAAUUCUUAUUUCGACUGUUA
rnacentral:rRNA from 1 species